rnacentral:rRNA from 1 species
CUACGGGGCGCUCCAGUGAGGAAUAUUGCACAAUGGGGGGAACCCUGAUGCAGCAACGCCGCGUGGAGGAUGACGCAUUUCGGUGUGUAAACUCCUUUUAUAUGUCAAGAAAAUGACGGUAGCAUAUGAAUAAGCACCGGCUAACUCCGUGCCAGCAGCCGCGGUGAUACGGGAGGGUGCAAGCGUUACUCGGACUCACUGGGCGUAAAGGACGCGUAGGCGGGUUGGAAAGUCAGGUGUGAAAUCCUACAGCUUAACUGUAGAACUGCACUUGAAACUUCUAAUCUAGAGUAUGGGAGGGGGAGAUGGAAUUAGUGGUGUAGGGGUAAAAUCCGUAGAUAUCACUAGGAAUACCUAAAGCGAAGGCGAUCUCCUGGAACAUUACUGACGCUAAGGCGUGAAAGCGUGGGGAGCAAACAGGAUUAGAUACCCGAGUAGUC